AUUGAACGCUGGCGGCAUGCCUCACACAUGCAAGUCGAACGGCAGCACGGGUGCUUGCACCUGGUGGCGAGUGGCGAACGGGUGAGUAAUACAUCGGAACGUACCUUAUCGUGGGGGAUAACGCAGCGAAAGCUGUGCUAAUACCGCAUACGCCCUGAGGGGGAAAGCGGGGGAUCGCAAGACCUCGCGCGAUUAGAGCGGCCGAUGCCUGAUUAGCUUGUUGGUGGGGUAAAAGCCCACCAAGGCGACGAUCAGUAGCUGGUCUGAGAGGACGGUCAGGCCCACUGGGACUGAGACACGGCCCAGACUCCUACGGGAGGCCGCAGUGGGGAAUUGUGGACAAUGGGGGCAAAUCUGAGCCAGCAAUGCCGCGUGAGUGAAGAGGGCCUUCGGGUUGUAAAGCUCUUUUGUCAGGGAAGAAACACCGGCUCUAACACAGUCCGGGAAUGACGGUACCUGAAGAAUAAGUACCGGCUAACUACGUGCCAGCAGCCGCCGUAA
rnacentral:rRNA from 1 species